rnacentral:rRNA from 1 species
GGUUACUGACGUUAACCAAACUCCGAAUGGGUGUAAGUGAGAGCGCGGCAGUGAGACUGCGGGGGAUAAGCUCCGUGGUCGAGAGGGAAACAGCCCAGAUCAUCAGCUAAGGCCCCUAAGUGGUGACUCAGUGGAAAAGGAUGUGGAGUUGCAGUGACAACCAGGAGGUUGGCUUGGAAGCAGCCAUCCUUGAAAGAGUGCGUAAUAGCUCACUGGUCAAGUGAUUCCGCGCCGACAAUGUAGCGGGGCUCAAGUCAUCCGCCGAAGCUAUGGCAUUCG